rnacentral:lncRNA from 1 species
UCUGACUGUCUUAUUUCAGAAAGGCAGCCAUCAAGCUCUGAGAUUCUUUCCUCCACUUGGUCUAUUCUGCUACUAAUACUUCAGCUCAGCCCAGUUCAGAACUCCUGCUGGAGAGAUGAUUCAGCUGUUUGCAGGAAAAAAGGCCCUCUGACUUUCACUCCCAGAUGAGACCAUCUAGUUGCAGAAAAGCAAGCUCAGGGAUCCCACAAAUUCUGCACUAUGGAGUGGACCAACUUUUCAACCCCCACCAUCAUCAGUCAUUGGCUCAGAGCAGUCCACAGGAAACAUAGCCUUGACCCAAAUAAGGAUUGUGAAGGAAGAGAAAAAUGUGGAAGAGAAGAGGAAGUGGAAGAGAAGAGGAAGUGGAAGAAAAGAAAAGGAAUCAAGAUCUUACACGACCUGAAAAGCCUAAAAUAUUUACCUUUAUAUAAAUCUUUCCCUUUGUAGAAAAAUUUUGACAAUCCCUGCUCUAGAGAGAGGAAGAAAACUCCAAGGACCUACCAGGUUUCUGAAGGUAAACUACUGAGGAACAAAACCAUUAAUAAAAUUCCUGCAAGAAUAAUGUAUUUUUUGAGUUUAUCACAUGGAGUUUUUUUUUUAACCAAAGGAUAAUUGAGCCCACAAAUAAAGACAAAACAUCCACUAAAAAUAUAUCAUGUAGAAACCAUUUUGAAAAUUAUGAAAAGAGUAUUUAACUAGCCUAAAUGUAGGUAGAACUAUCUGUCAGAUAAAAAAAUAAAAAGCACAUACUUAAAGCACACAACUUGAUAAGUUGUUGAAAUUCUCAACACAAUCAAGAUU